UACGUAGGUGGCAAGCGUUGUCCGGAUUUACUGGGCGUAAAGAGCGCGCAGGCGGUCGUUCAAGUCGCGUGUGAAAGCCCCCGGCUCAACUGGGGAGGGUCACGCGAUACUGAUCGACUCGAAGGCAGGAGAGGGUAGUGGAAUUCCCGGUGUAGUGGUGAAAUGCGUAGAUAUCGGGAGGAACACCAGUGGCGAAGGCGACUACCUGGCCUGUUCUUGACGCUGAGGCGCGAAAGCUAGGGGAUCAAACGGG
rnacentral:rRNA from 1 species